CAUGCCUACGGGACGCAGCAGUGAGGAAUAUUGGUCAAUGGGAGGGAUCCUGAACCAGCCAAGCUGCGUGAGGGAAGACGGCCCUAUGGGUUGUAAACCUCUUUUGUCGGAGAACAAAACCCGGGACGUGUCCCGGACUGCGUGUGUCCGAAGAAAAAGCAUCGGCUAACUCCGUGCCAGCAGCCGCGGUAAUACGGAGGAUGCGAGCGUUAUCCGGAUUUAUUGGGUUUAAAGGGUGCGUAGGCGGUCCGUUAAGUCAGCGGUAAAAUUGCGGGGCUCAACCCCGUCGAGCCGUUGCAACUGUC
rnacentral:rRNA from 1 species